CUUUGGGAAGUCCUGGUGAUUAUGAUGACGUCAUUGGUGUGGGUGCUGUGGAUUCGGCGGAUUCGUUGGCUGAUUUUAGUAGUAGAGGACCUGGUUCUGGAAAAUCCUGGUUUCUUUUUCUUUUUUCUUUUUCCUUUUUCUUUUUCUUCUUUUUUCUUUUUUCUUUCUUUUUUUUACUACUUUUCUUUUUCUUACUUUCUUUUUCUACUUUUCUUUUUUCUUUUCUUUUUCUUUUUCUUUUUUCUUUCUUUUUUCUUUUUUCUUUUUCUUUUCUUUUUUCUUUUUCUUUUUCUUUUCUUUUUCUUUUUUCUUUUUCUUUUUCUUUUUCUUUUUU
rnacentral:rRNA from 1 species